rnacentral:miRNA from 1 species
UCCUUCUAAUGUGUUUUUCG